GCCUACGGCCAUGCCACCCUGAACAAGCCCGAUCCCGUCUGAGCUCGGAAGCGAAGCAGGGUCGGGCCUGGUUAGUGCUUGGAGGGGAGACCCCCUAGGACGACCAGGUGCUGUAGGUG
rnacentral:rRNA from 1 species